GACGAACGCUGGCGGCGUGCUUAACACAUGCAAGUCGAACGGUGAAGCGCCUUCCUUUUUGGUGGGUGUGGAUGAGUGGCGAACGGGUGAGUAACACGUGAGUAACCUGCCCCCUUCUUCUGGAUAACCGCAUGAAAGUGUGGCUAAUACGGGAUAUUCUGGGUCUGUCGCAUGAUGGGUCUGGGAAAGAUAUUGUUUCGGUGGGGGAUGGGCUCGCGGCCUAUCAGCUUGUUGGUGGGGUGAUGGCCUACCAAGGCGGUGACGGGUAGCCGGCCUGAGAGGGUGGACGGUCACACUGGGACUGAGACACGGCCCAGACUCCUACGGGAGGCAGCAGUGGGGAAUAUGCACAAUGGGCGCAAGCCUGAUGCAGCGACGCCGCGUGAGGGAUGGAGGCCUUCGGGUUGUGAACCUCUUUCGCCAGUGAAGCAGGCCCGCCUCGUUUGUGGGUGGGUUGACGGUAGCUGGAUAAGAAGCGCCGGCUAACUACGUG
rnacentral:rRNA from 1 species